GGAUGUGAGGGUGAUCUGGCUGUGACAGCAUGGAGAUCACCAGGGUUGAUCAGGCUGAUCUGGUAUCCCCUUCCUCCCUCACAGCUCCAUGUGCAUCCCUCCCAAAACUGCCAGCUGGCUGAAGACAACCUUCCUUGAAUAGAGAAGACAGGUCUUCAGUUGAGGGUAUACAAGUAGUGCGCUCCCCUGCUAGAACCUCCAAACGAACUCUCAAGGUCCUAAUAUGGCCCUCCUGAAGUGUCCUGAGCUGGCUGAGGUGGAGAUGCUCUCCUCCCCUCCCCCAUCCUCAUAGUUUGGCCUGAAGAGAAGGCAGCAUCAUU
rfam:Erinaceus europaeus unplaced genomic scaffold scaffold00590, whole genome shotgun sequence